rnacentral:rRNA from 1 species
AGGACGAACGCUGGCGGCGUGCUUAACACAUGCAAGUCGAGCGGAAAGGCCCUUCGGGGUACUCGAGCGGCGAACGGGUGAGUAACACGUGAGCAACCUGCCCUUAGCUCCGGGAUAGCUCCGGGAAACCGGAAUUAAUACCGGAUACGACCACGGCCGACAUCUGCUGUGGUGGAAAGGAUUCCGGCUAAGGAUGGGCUCGCGGCCUAUCAGCUAGUUGGUGGAGUAACGGCCCACCAAGGCGACGACGGGUAGCCGGCCUGAGAGGGCGACCGGCCACACUGGGACUGAGACACGGCCCAGACUCCUACGGGAGGCAGCAGUGGGGAAUAUUGCGCAAUGGGCGAAAGCCUGACGCAGCGACGCCGCGUGGGGGAUGAAGGCUUUCGGGUUGUAAACCCCUUUCAGCAGGGACGAAGCGAAAGUGACGGUACCUGCAGAAGAAGCACCGGCCAACUACGCGCCAGCAGCCGC